UUUUAACUGUGUUGUAACUCACCUCAAGCCACAGAGAGAGAGGACAACGCCUUGGGGACACCUUGCGAAGCCAACAGGUGAAGAUGCUCAAGGUUUGGACCAUCCUUCUCCUAUGCAGCCUCCUGCUCUUCCAACAAGCUGCUGCGCAAGACCUCACGACCGGGUUUGAUUUCAAAACCAUUGAAGAUGCAGUCCGCUACAAUAAACGUAUCGGAGAUCUGUUUGGAGCCAUCUUGGGAGGCAGGAAAGGUCUGCCUGGAAAUGUCUUAGGAAAUGAAGAAGGUCAGCGUGGAAGUCCCCAGAAUCAGCCUAAGACAAUUUUCAUCUCUGUGAAUGAUUUUGUGCAAAGGGUGAAAACCGAGUCCAGAGCACCCAAGCUCAUGGUCCCCUUUCUCUUCCAGGGUUUUCACGCCUGUGACUAA
rnacentral:lncRNA from 11 species